AUCUGUACUGAGAGCCACAAAACUCCCCUUUGACUGCUGCUUACCCCUGUACGUUCCUAAACUAAUUCAGUGGCGAUCAUGUGCAGAGGGAGUGCCCUAGGUGCCUACAUUUCUGCCUGUGUGCAUGUGCUGUGCUGCCUCACCGCAGGCGCUCAGACGCCGUCUCCUGUCUGUGCUCCAGACUGAUCCACAAACCAGGGAAGACAGGCAUUUGUCCACCUAAAUUGCAUGCUGGGCCUGAUCAGGUAGGCAUGCCCAGAGGCUGCUGACUGGAUUGGGCCCAUUAGGUGAGUUAACACAACAGUUGCAGGUGGUGGAGGGAACCUUCCUUUAUAAUCUUUAGCUUAGUGGUUAUGGGAUGUGGGAGACCCCCAGUUCAAGUCCCUCCUCUGCCUGAUGAGGAGAAGGAAUUUUAACAGGGAUCUACAUCGCUCAGGGACUGUCCAGUUUGGCCGAUGUACAUAGCAGAGGGGCAUUGCUGGCACGUGAUGGCGUAUAUAACAUCGGUGGAUGUGCAGAAUUCCCCCGGGGUAAAGGAUAUUGACUUUUGAAGGAGAUGCUAAAAUGAGAAGCUAUGACCAAGUUCUGUCAUAGACCAGGCAGUGCCCUGAGUGAUCCAGAAGCUGGUGCUUCCUUAAAAUGCCUGCAAGGUGUGAUCAUCCAACAGUUCCCCUUUCAGGAAGAUGAUUGCCAUAUUACACGCCUCCACCCUGCUCCCUACACUGACGUAUCACCCUGUGUGGUGUUUGAGGAGGGAGGAACUGAAGAGAGAUUCAGUAUUUGCUGGGCAGAAGAUGGCCCACUCUUCAGUUGAUCUGCCUGAGACUGUGAAGUUGGAGAUGAGGAAGAUCUCUGUCUCAAGGAAAAAGAAGCACAAACAGUUCCAUCAGCACAAUCCCAUUUUACCACCUCUCGUAAGAUCUGUAUCAAUCUGCUGCAUUGUAAGCUCUUUUGGGCAGACAUUGUAUGCUGCUCUUUAAAGCUCUGAUGACAUGAUAUAAAUUGGAAAGUAAAGAAUCAUUCUUUCUUGAUGUAAAUGCUAAGAUGAGAAGCAAUAGUUGGGGGAAGAUGUCGGUCGGCCAGUGUCCUGAGGAAUUUGGUGCCUCCUUAGAAUGCCUGGAGCAACAUAAUCAUCUUGUAUUUACGUUUUCAGAAAUUUCAAAUCAAUUUGGGGAACUGGGCUCCCGCAGACUCCUAAAUUCUCAUAUCAGCUAAAUGGGCAAGAGAGAGGAAAAGCAGUGAGCCCCA